rnacentral:rRNA from 1 species
UGGUCAAGUUAUUAAGGGUGCAGGGCGGAUGCCUUGGCACUAGGAGCCGAUGAAGGACGUGAUAAGCUGCGAUAAGCUUCGGGGAGUUGCACGUAAACUUUGAUCCGAAGAUUUCCGAAUGAGGAAACUCACUUAGAGUAAUGUCUAAGUAUCAUUAAGUGAAUACAUAGCUUAAUGAGGGGAACUCAGGGAACUGAAACAUCUAAGUACCUGAAGGAAGAGAAAGAAAUUCGAUUCCGUAAGUAGCGGCGAGCGAACGCGGAUUAGCCCAAACCAAUAAAGUUUUCUUUAUUGGGGUUGCGGACAUAUCAUAACGAAGAGGUAUCGUAAUUGAAGAGGUUUGGAAAGACCCACCACAGAAGGUAAUAGUCCUGUAUGUUAAACGAGAAGACUUCAGAUAUGAUCCAGAGUACCACGGGACACGUGAAACCCUGUGGGAAGCAGGAGGGACCACCCUCCAAGGCUAAAUACUACCUAGUGACCGAUAGCGUAUAGUACCGUGAGGGAAAGGUGAAAAGAACCCCGGGAGGGGAGUGAAAUAGAACCUGAAACCCUGCACUUACAAGCUGUGGAAGCACAUUUCUUGUGUGACCGCGUACUUUUUGUAGAACGGGCCAACGAGUUACGUUAAGUAGCAAGGUUAAGCACUUAAGGUGCGGAGCCGUAGCGAAAGCGAGUUUUAACUGAGCGUUCAGUUACUUGACGUAGACCCGAAACCGGGCGACCUACCCAUGAGCAGGAUGAAGCGAAAGUAAAAUUUCGUGGAGGUCCGAACCCACGAGCGUUGAAAAGCUCGGGGAUGACUUGUGGGUAGCGGUGAAAUUCCAAUCGAGCCCGGAGAUAGCUGGUUCUCCCCGAAAUAGCUUUAGGGCUAGCCUCAAGGUGAGAGAUACGGAGGUAGAGCACUGAAUGUCCUAGGGGGUAUUGCACCUACCGAAGACUAUCAAACUCCGAAUGCCGUCAUCUUAUACUUGGGAGUCAGACUGUGGGUGAUAAGAUUCAUAGUCGAAAGGGCAACAGCCCAGAUCGUCAGCUAAGGUCCCUAAAUGUAAGUUAAGUGGUAAAGGAUGUGGGAUUGCACAGACAACCAGGAUGUUGGCUUAGAAGCAGCCACUCAUUCAAAGAGUGCGUAAUAGCUCACUGGUCGAGUGAUCCUGCGCCGAAGAUUUCCGGGGCUAAAACUUACUACCGAAGCUACGGCAUCAGUAAUGAUGGGUAGGGGAGCUUCCCAUACGGGUUGAAGCAUGACCGUAAGGACAUGUGGACAGUAUGGGAGUGAGAAUGUUGGCAUGAGUAGCGAGAUGUGGGUGAGAAUCCCACAGGCCGUAAACCCAAGGUUUCCAGGGGAAGGUUCGUCCGCCCUGGGUUAGUCGGGACCUAAGCUGAGGCCGAAAGGCGUAGGUGAUGGACAACAGGUUGAUAUUCCUGUACUACCGAUAACCGUUUGAGAGAAGGGAUGACACAGUAGGAUAAGCUAAGCACACUGUUGGUUAUGUGUGCCCAAGCAUUGAGGCAGUCAAAGUAGGCAAAUCCGCUUUGAUAAUGCUGGGAUGUGAUGGGGAGCGAAAUUUAGUAGCGAAGUAGCUGAUUUCACACUGUCAAGAAAAGUCUCUAUCGAGGUUAAAGGUACCCGUACCGCAAACCGACACAGGUGGGUGAGGAGAGUAUCCUAAGGCCAGCGAGAGAACUGUUGUUAAGGAACUCGGCAAAAUGACCCCGUAACUUAGGGAUAAGGGGUGCCACCAUCAGGUGGCCGCAGAGAAUAGGCCCAAGCGACUGUUUACCAAAAACAUAGGUUUCUGCUAAGUCGCAAGACGAUGUAUAGGAGCUGACGCCUGCCCGGUGCUGGAAGGUUAAGGGGAUCUGUUAGAGCAAUCGAAGCAGUGAACUUAAGCCCCAGUAAACGGCGGCCGUAACUAUAACGGUCCUAAGGUAGCGAAAUUCCUUGUCGGGUAAGUUCCGACCCGCACGAAAGGCGUAACGAUUUGGGCACUGUCUCAACAACAGACUCGGUGAAAUUGUAAUUCCGGUGAAGAUGCCGGAUACCUGCGACAGGACGGAAAGACCCCAUGGAGCUUUACUGUAGCUUGACAUUGGGUCUUGGUACUACAUGUACAGGAUAGGUGGGAGGCUUUGAAACCAGGACGCCAGUUUUGGCGGAGCCAUCCUUGGGAUACCACCCUUGUAGUACUGGGACUCUAACCAUAGGCCAUGAAUCUGGUCUUGGGACACUGUCAGGUGGGCAGUUUGACUGGGGCGGUCGCCUCCCAAAAGGUAACGGAGGCGCUCAAAGGUUCUCUCAGUACGGUCGGAAAUCGUACGUAGAGUGUAAAGGCAAAAGAGAGCUUGAUUGCAAGACAUACAGGUCGAGCAAGGAUGAAAAUCGGACUUAGUGAUCCGGUGGUUCUGCGUGGAAGGGCCAUCGCUCAACGGAUAAAAGCUACCCUGGGGAUAACAGGCUUAUCUCCCCCAAGAGUCCACAUCGACGGGGAGGUUUGGCACCUCGAUGUCGGCUCAUCACAUCCUGGGGCUGUAGUAGGUCCCAAGGGUUGGGCUGUUCGCCCAUUAAAGUGGUACGCGAGCUGGGUUCAGAACGUCGUGAGACAGUUCGGUCCCUAUCCGUCGCAGGCGUAGGAAAUUUGAGAAGACCUGUCCUUAGUACGAGAGGACCGGGAUGGACGUACCUCUGGUGUACCAGUUGUCCUGCCAAGGGCAUGGCUGGGUAGCUAUGUACGGAAUGGAUAAGCGCUGAAAGCAUCUAAGCGCGAAGCCAACUUCAAGAUAAGAUUUCCCACCGCAAGGGUAAGACCCCAGAAAGACUAUCUGGUUGAUAGGUCGAAGGUGUAAGUGCAG